CAGGCGGCUUGGUAAGUUGUGCGUGAAAGCCUCGUGCUCAACGCGAGGAAGCCGGACAAUACUGUCAAAGCUAGAGGGCAUCAGAGGGGAGUGGAAUUCCCGGAGUAGCGGUAAAAUGCGCAGAUAUCGGGAGGAACACCGAUGGCGAAGGCAGCUCCCUGGGAUGCACCUGACGCUAAGGGGCGAAAGCUAGGGGAGCGAACAGGAUUAGAGACCCUGGUAGUCCUAGCUGUAAACGCUGGGUGCUAGGUGUGGGACGUAGAAGUUCCGUGCCGGAGCAAACGCGAUAAGCACCCCGCCUGGGAAUUACGGUCGCAAGGCUAAAACUCAAACGAAUCGACGGGGCCCCGCACAAGCAGCGGAGCGUGUGGUUCAAUUCGAUGCUACACGAAGAACCUUACCUGGGUUUGACAUGUACGUGGUACGAAGGCGAAAGCCUAAGGACCCUUCGGGGAGCGUACACAGGUGCUGCAUGGCUGUCGUCAGCUCGUGCCGUGAGGUGUCGGGUUAAGUCCCAUAACGAGCGCAACCCUUGCCCUUAGUUACAAGUGUCUAAGGGGACUGCCGGCGGGAAGCCGGAGGAAGGUGGGGAUGACGUCAAGUCAGCAUGGCCCUUAUGUCCAGGGCUACACACACGCUACAAUGGUCAGUACAAAGGGUAGCGAAGUCGCGAGGCGGAGCGAAUCUCAACAAAGCUGAUCGUAGUUCGGAUUGCAGGCUGCAACCCGCCUGCAUGAAGCUGGAGUUGCUAGUAACCGCGCGUCAGCCAUAGUGCGGUGAAUACGUACCCGGGGCUUGUACACACCGCCCGUCACGUCAUGGGAGUCGGUAACGCCUGAAGCCGGUAGUCUGGCCCGCAAGGGGGACGCUGUCGAAGGCG
rnacentral:rRNA from 1 species